GGCCCACCAUCUACAUUAACUGCGGACCCGGUGAGCGUGGUCGAUCAAUAUUAACAAAUCCUGGCGCCCUGUUCAGCCGAUCCACAAAUCGGAAUAGAGGAAACCUUAACCGGCGACGAUGGCAAACCCGAAUCAAGGUGAGGAUCCGCCGGCGCUGCCAAUCGUCCCUGCCCGGACCGCGGCAGGAAGGUAGUCACGUACGUAGCUCGCCGCGGGCAGUACGCAGGCGAACGUUUCUACAAGUGCCGUAAUUACAAUCCAUCGGCUGGUGGAUGUGAUUUCUACAGGUGGCAAGAAGCCUACGCCGACCACCUCGCCUGAGAUCCACAGGCGAAAAUCCAGGCGGCGCAGGCAAGUUAGUCAAGGGGGUCAAGGUCUGCAGGCGCCGCUCGGGUCGGAGGAGCAGCAGAACGUGGUGCCUGGGGGAUCUCAGUUCGCUUGGUCCGCGAGCGGAGCUGCAGGAUACAUGGUCGCGACGCCUCCAAUGGCGGGUCGGCAGGGGAGCACGGCAUGGAUGCUCAGUCCAUAAAUCUGGUGAUGUCAGUGGCUAAGUCUGUUCAUAUCCAACUUGCAAAUGCAGUUCAUGACAUCACCGCAUGCGAGAAGUCUUUUGUCCCUGUGAUACUAGAUCAUGGGUGGGCUGCAUACAUGUGGGACAUGCUGAGAAAGGAAAUUCAUGUCCUGGAUCCAUUGUGUGCACAAGUUGCUGGAGCUGAGCAACGUCAUAUGACCCAUUAGGAGGCUGUUUCACAGAUUCACACAGCAUUAUUCAGUUGUCUUAAUGAGUUCUUCACGAAAUGGCGUUGUUCAGCUGAGAAGUGGAAGAGCAAGUUCCCCAGAAUAACACGUGAUGUUUUCACAAGGGAUGAGUCUGGAGUGUGUAUGCUUCAUGCAAUCCGGCAGUACGACGGGAACAAGAUGAUGUGACCGCUGACAAGGGAAAUAUUUGUGUUUUUGUCCAUUUGAGAAUCCCACUUCAUAAAUCUGAAAUCGAUCGAAAUUUUAUGAGGUGAUAUUUUUCGUGAUGCUUAUGGCCACCUUUUCUUUUUUAGUUAUGCAGAAAAAUCUGUCCACUUUUAGGAAAACAGUUGUUUCCGAGGUUUUUCGACAGCGCGAUGAGCACGGGAAUUGCGUGGCUGAUGAUGUGUUGCGGACUGCCCUCGAAGAAUCGGAGGACUGAAUGUUCAGUUACAACAUGAUAAAUGAACUGAUCAUGCCCUUUUUUUCAAGCAAAAUGUUUGAUGGUGUUUGUCUGGUAUGAAUUGUCUGUGGGCAUGAUCACAUCUGGACACUUUUAAAAAUAAAGUUAUGUCCCUUUGCUUUGCCAA